rnacentral:misc_RNA from 1 species
ACAAAUCCAAUGCUUGUGAGAUGAUUUUAAUUAAUUGUCUUGCAAAUAUUAAUCCGCUGGCCUCGCAAGGGGCUAGUUGAUAGAUAACGAUAUAAAUGUGUGUAGUGUUGACAGUGUGUGAUAUUUAAUUAAUUAUUGA